rnacentral:misc_RNA from 1 species
GAUGAAGAACGUAGCGAAAUGCGAUACGUAGUGUGAAUUGCAGAAUUCAGUGAAUCAUCGAAUCUUUGAACGCACAUUGCACCUCUCGGUAUUCCGGGAGGUAUGCCUGUUCGAGCGUCAUUUGUACCUUCAAGCUUUGCUUGGUGUUGGGUGUUUGUCCUUUCUCUUGCAGAGGGACUCGCCUUAAAGUAAUUGGCAGCCAGUGUUUUGGUUUUGAAGCGCAGCACAAGUCGCGAUUCAAAGCUAUACGCCAGCUUCCACAAGCCUUUUUCACUUUUGACCUCGGAUCAGGUAGGGAUACCCGCUGAACUUAAGCAUAUCAAUAAGCGGAGGA